rfam:Triticum aestivum genome assembly, contig: Triticum_aestivum_CS42_TGACv1_scaffold_641814_T_2DL-0.188684_6DS-0.139852
GAUGUACCCCCUCUGUCCUAAAAAGGAUGUCGCAAAUUUAUCUAAAUCUAGAUGUAUCUAUAUACUAUAUAGUGUCUACAUACAUCUAAAUUUACACAAGUUUGAGACAUCUCUUUUUAGGACGGAUGGAGUAAGAA